UACGUAGGGUGCGAGCGUUGUCCGGAAUUAUUGGGCGUAAAGAGCGUGUAGGCGGUUAGGUAGGUCCGUUGUGAAAACUCGAGGCUCAACCUCGAGACGCCGAUGGAAACCAUCUGACUAGAGUCCGGAAGAGGAGAGUGGAAUUCCUGGUGUAGCGGUGAAAUGCGCAGAUAUCAGGAAGAACACCCGUGGCUAAGGCGGCUCUCUGGGACGGUACUGACGCUGAGACGCGAAAGCGUGGGGAGCGAACAGG
rnacentral:rRNA from 1 species